rnacentral:SRP_RNA from 14 species
CGACUCUCGUGAAGCUCGCCAGGGCCGGAAG